rnacentral:rRNA from 1 species
AGUGAACGCUGGCGGUAGGCCUAACACAUGCAAGUCGAACGGCAGCACAGUAAGAGCUUGCUCUUACGGGUGGCGAGUGGCGGACGGGUGAGGAAUACAUCGGAAUCUACUUUUUCGUGGGGGAUAACGUAGGGAAACUUACGCUAAUACCGCAUACGACCUACGGGUGAAAGCAGGGGAUCUUCGGACCUUGCGCGAUUGAAUGAGCCGAUGUCGGAUUAGCUAGUUGGCGGGGUAAAGGCCCACCAAGGCGACGAUCCGUAGCUGGUCUGAGAGGAUGAACGGAAAGAUGGGGACCGAGAUACGGCACUGAGGCGUACGGGAGGCAGGAGUGGGGAAGAUGGAGCAAUGGGCGGAAGCAUGAUGAAGAAACGUCGCGUGCGGGAUGACGGCCGUCGGGGUGUAAAAAGCUUUAGCCGGUGACGAAGCGGGAGGGACGGGAAUGGAUAAAGAAGCACCGGCUAACUACGAG